rnacentral:lncRNA from 1 species
GGCCAUUUAUCAUCUACUGCUGUGUGGUAGCUAGCUAGUAUGUUACUGGUAUUGGCCCAGGCAAGCCUUGAGGAAAUCUGAAGAUUUUGUUCGCUCCCUUCUUCUUCUGCAACUGCAAGCAGAGCAAGUUUCUGUCUUGAUCGCUGUUGGUUGAAUGACCAUCAGUGGCUUCUCAGUCUAGCUACCCUCUCUAUUCAGGUAUAUAUAUAUAUAUUUUCAGUUCAGUUAUGUGCACUUCCGGUGCUCCUUCGUUCUGCUCACUAGUUGCUCAAUAAUCUUGUAUCAUCUAUUGCAGGUGUAGCAGCAUCGUUUUCUCCUGGUGAUUGGCUAUAAUCUUGUAUUAGUAUCUAUUUUGAUAGGCUGGAAGACUGGGUGCAAGGUAAGACUUGCUCUUGGGACCUUUGUUUCAUAACUACAGCGGAAUAAAUUAUGAUGAUUGUAGGUUAGCAUGUCGGAAACCGAUUAGAGUUAAGAUGGAUUAGACAACCAUACAUAAUUAGCUGGUUGUUAUAUUUAAAAAUACUCUUGCAUUCAAAACAGUUAUGUGCACUUCCGGUACUCAUUUGUUCUGUUCACUAGUUGGUCAAUAAUCUUGUAUCAUCUCUUUAUCAAAAAAUAAAUAAAAAACCUUGUAUCAUCUAUUGCAGGUGUAUCAGCAUGGCUUUCUCCUGGUGAUUGGCCUAUAAUCUUAUAUUUCUAUUUUGAUUAUAGCUUGCACUCAGCCUUGCGGGAUCCUUAAACUAUCGAUAGGCUGGAAGGCUGGUUCUAAGGUAAGUCUUUCGACCGUACCUGAGAGAGGUUGGGACUUUGGUUUCAGAAAUACAGUGGAAUAAAUUAUGAUGAUUGAUAGGCUGCCAUGUACGA